rnacentral:rRNA from 1 species
ACGUAGGGUGCGAGCGUUAAUCGGAAUUACUGGGCGUAAAGCGUGCGCAGGCGGUUUUGUAAGACAGGCGUGAAAUCCCCGGGCUCAACCCGGGAACUGCGUUUGUGACUGCAAGGCUAGAGUACGGUAGAGGGGGGUGGAAUUUCACGUGUAGCAGUGAAAUGCGUAGAGAUGAGGAGGAACACCAAUGGCGAAGGGAGCCCCCUGGAUCGAUACUGACGCUCAUGCACGAAAGCGUGGGUAGCAAACAG